AUUGAACGCUGGCGGCAGGCCUAACACAUGCAAGUCGAACGGUAACAGGAAGCAGCUUGCUGCUUCGCUGACGAGUGGCGGACGGGUGAGUAAUGUCUGGGAAGCUGCCUGAUGGAGGGGGAUAACUACUGGAAACGGUAGCUAAUACCGCAUAAUGUCGCAAGACCAAAGAGGGGGACCUUCGGGCCUCUUGCCAUCGGACGUGCCCAGAUGGGAUUAGCUUGUUGGUGGGGUAACGGCUCACCAAGGCGACGAUCCCUAGCUGGUCUGAGAGGAUGACCAGCCACACUGGGACUGAGACACGGUCCAGACUCCUACGGGAGGCAGCAGUGGGGAAUAUUGCACAAUGGGCGCAAGCCUGAUGCAGCCAUGCCGCGUGUAUGAAGAAGGCCUUCGGGUUGUAAAGUACUUUCAGCGGGGAGGAAGGGAGUAAAGUUAAUACCUUUGCUCAUUGACGUUACCCGCAGAAGAAGCACCCGCUAACUCCGUG
rnacentral:rRNA from 1 species